AUACGUAGGGUGCGAGCGUUAAUCGGAAUUACUGGGCGUAAAGCGUGCGCAGGCGGCUUUAUAAGCCAGAUGUGAAAUCCCCGGGCUCAACCUGGGAACUGCAUUUGGAACUGUAAGGCUAGAGUACGUCAGAGGGGGGUAGAAUUCCACGUGUAGCAGUGAAAUGCGUAGAUAUGUGGCGGAAUACCGAUGGCGAAGGCAGCCCCCUGGGUCGAUACUGACGCUCAUGCACGAAAGCGUGGGGAGCAAACAGGAUUAGAAACCCUAGUAGUCC
rnacentral:rRNA from 1 species